rnacentral:rRNA from 1 species
GAUGAACGCUGGCGGCGUGCCUAAUACAUGCAAGUCGAGCGAACAGAUAAGGAGCUUGCUCCUUUGACGUUAGCGGCGGACGGGUGAGUAACACGUGGAUAACCUACCUAUAAGACUGUGAUAACUUCGGGAAACCGGAGCUAAUACCGGAUAACAUAUUGAACCGCAUGGUUCAAUAGUGAAAGGCGGCUUUGCUGUCACUUAUAGAUGGAUCCGCGCCGUAUUAGCUAGUUGGUAAGGUAACGGCUUACCAAGGCAACGAUACGUAGCCGACCGGGGGGGGUGAUCGGCCACACUGGAACUGAGACACGGUCCAGACUCCUACGGGAGGCAGCAGUAGGGAAUCUUCCGCAAUGGGCGAAAGCCUGACGGAGCAACGCCGCGUGAGUGAUGAAGGUCUUCGGAUCGUAAAACUCUGUUAUCAGGGAAGAACAAAUGUGUAAGUAACUGUGCACAUCUUGACGGUACCUGAUCAGAAAGCCACGGCUAACUACGUGCCAGCCGCCGCGGUAA